rnacentral:rRNA from 1 species
UCAGUGAAUCAUCGAAUCUUUGAACGCACCUUGCGCUCCAUGGUAUUCCGUGGAGCAUGCCUGUUUGAGUGUCAUGAAUACUUCAACCCUCCUCUUUUCUAGUGAAAGAGAAGGUGCUUGGUUUCUGAGCGUUUUGCUGGCCUCACGGUCGAGCUCGCUCGUAAUGCAUUAGCAUCCGCAAUCGAACUUCGGAUUGACUUGGCGUAAUAGACUAUUCGCUGAGGAAUUCUAAUCUUCGGAUUAGAGCCGGGUUAGGUUAAAGGAAGCUUCUAAUCCUAAUGUCUAUAUUUUAAGAUUAGAUCUCAAAUCAGGUAGGACUACCCGCUGAACUUAAGCAUAUC